AUCGAACGCUGGCGGCAGGCCUAACACAUGCAAGUCGAGCGAGCGGCGGACGGGUGAGCAAUGUAUGGGGCCUGCCCGACAGAGGGGGAUAACCACUGGAAACAGUAGCUAUUACCGCAUAUUAUCGGAUAACCCAUAUGGGAUUAGAGAGUAGUUGAGGUAAUGGCUCACCUAGGCGACGAUCCCUCGCUGGUCUGAGAGGAUGAUCAGCCACACUGGGACUGAGACACGGCCCAGACUCCUACGGAGGCAGCAGUGGGGAAUAUUGCACAAUGGGCGCAAGCCUGAUGCAGCCAUGCCGCGUGUGUGAAGAAGGCCCUAGGGUUGUAAAGUACUUUCAGUCGGGAGGCGUUACCGACAGAAGAAGCACCGGCUAACUCCGUGCCAGCCGCCGCGGUAAUAC
rnacentral:rRNA from 1 species